rnacentral:rRNA from 1 species
UACGACUACAUAUCAGGCAUAUCAAUAAGCGGAGGAAAAGAAACUAACUAGGAUUCCCUUAGUAACGGCGAGUGAAGCGGGAAGAGCUCAAAUUUGAAAUCUUCAAGGUUCUACCUUGACGAAUUGUAGUUUAAAGAAGUGUUUUCUGUUGGAGUUUUGGUAAAAGUUCUUUGGAAUAGGACAUCAUAGAGGGUGAGAAUCCCGUAUUUGACCAUUUCUUCCAGCUGUGUGAUACACUUUCAAAGAGUCGGAUUGUUUGGGAAUGCAGUCCAAAAUGGGUGGUAAAUUUCAUCUAAAGCUAAAUAUUGGCGAGAGACCGAUAGCGAACAAGUACCGUGAGGGAAAGAUGAAAAGAACUUUGAAAAGAGAGUUAAACAGUACGUGAAAUUGUCAAAAGGGAAGCGUUUGACACCAGUGUUGUUUUCUCGAAAAUCAAUUAAAAAUGACCGGAUUUUGUGUUGUAUUGACUUUAUCAGCUUUCUGCACUAUUUUCUUGUCUUUUUUAAUGCACUUUCGUUUAACAAGUCAACAUCAAUUUCUUUUGUUGUAAAAGGGUCAUUGGAAGGUGGCUUUCACUUCGGUGAAAGUGUUUAUAGCCUUUGACUUCUGCAAUCGGAGAGAUUGAGGUCUGCAGCGUAGAUCCUUCGGGGUUAAAUACAUUUGUGCUAAGUUAUAGUUUUUCAUAGACAACAUGUUGACUAUGAUUAAUCAUGUAGCUUACUCGCUUAUGCUAUUUUACCUACGCUUAGGAUGUUGAACGCGCACAGAGUCUC